GCCGUAGAGUUAGUGGGUUAAUCAUUCUCACGGCAGCAUUUGAAAUCCACCAAUGAACCAGCUACUAUGGACGCUCAAAUAUUUUGUCUCUCGUAAUUUCCUUCUGUCAUUGGAGACUUCAUUGGUACUGGCAAGGGGACAACCAGCAGGAUUAUUAACACUGGAUAACAUGCACAAGAGACAGUUUUAUUGAUCAUAUCUGUUCCCUGAUGUAAUUAAAUCAAAAUAAAAUGAGCAAAAGAAUAUGAACAA